ACAGCAGACCUAUGAAGGUCAAAGGGGAAGUUAAGAAAAGCUGUAUCGAUUGUUGAGAUCUGGCGACUUGCUUAAAUUUCAUCAGCCUCACUUCUAUGGACUCUCAGGCCUCACGUGUACCAGCUCUCUGCUCUCCUUUGCCUUGGGACGUUCCAUCCCUGGAAGUUUCCCUGCCCACAUCUUUGUAGAGAGUCCAUUCUCCAAGCUUCAGUGUGUCAUCUGUUAGGACUAUGACCCACCUGGUACAUUACCUCAGGGCAUUCAUUUCAGGCUCCUUCUAAGUGGUCAAGUUUUCAAGAUUGUUUUGGCUCUAGCAAAACAAGUUGGAACAUUCACAUCAUCCAUCUUCUGUCAGCCUAACAAGCAUAGCAAGAAGAUAUAGCCCCACAACCACUUUAUGCACAUAGUUAGAAGCAUAAAAUCUCAUGGAAAGAGACCGAUUAUCCACAGAAGAUGUUGUCUUGCCAUUUCUCUCAUGUUAGAGGUAAACCUCAGGUUCUCCUCCUGCCUUUUGCUAAGUAUAUGUCUUGAUGACAAGCCUUCUGCUAAUGAGCUGUGUUUCUGGACCGAUCAUGGUAGAAGUCAAUUGAAGUGUCCCUCACUUGGGGUUUCUUAAGG
rnacentral:lncRNA from 1 species